rnacentral:rRNA from 1 species
AGUGAACGCUGGCGGUAGGCCUAACACAUGCAAGUCGAACGGCAGCACAGUAAGAGCUUGCUCUUACGGGUGGCGAGUGGCGGACGGGUGAGGAAUACAUCGGAAUCUACUUUUUCGUGGGGGAUAACGUAGGGAAACUUGCGCAAAUACCGCAUACGACCUACGGGUGAAAGCAGGGGAUCUUCGGACCUUGCGCGAUUGAAUGAGCCGAUGUCGGAUUAGCUAGUUGGCGGGGUAAAGGCCCACCAAGGCGACGAUCCGUAGCUGGUCUGAGCGGAUGAUCAGCCACACUGGAACUGAGACACGGUCCAGACUCCUACGGGAGGCAGCAGUGGGGAAUAUUGGACAAUGGGCGCAAGCCUGAUCCAGCCAUGCCGCGUGGGUGAAGAAGGCCUUCGGGUUGUAAAGCCCUUUUGUUGGGAAAGAAAAGCAGCAGGUUAAUACCCCGCUGUUCUGACGGUACCCAAAGAAUAAGCACCGGCUAACUUCGUG